rnacentral:lncRNA from 1 species
UGGCGUGCCACCGAGGGUGAUUCAAUGUCACCAUAGCAGCCGGGAGUGGAUUCAUUCCUGGAUGGUGAAAAGGCUUCAUCCUGUGUUUUCACUCUAUGAUGGACUGCUACCCUGACCUAAGGUUGCGGAGCACUAUGCCAUCCACCCACCUCUUCCAUACUUGGCGGAAAUAGACAGUAGAGAGUGAUGGAGUGACAGACCCAGUGGAAAGGGUUGAGCUCACA